AGCUCACGUAAGAGUUUGAUCAUGGCUCAGGAUGAACGCUAGCGGCAGGCCUAAUACAUGCAAGUCGAGGGGCAGCACGGCAGCAAUGCUGGUGGCGACCGGCGGACGGGUGCGUAACGCGUAUGGAACUUGUCCGGAUCUCUGGAAUAGCCCCGAACGGGAAGUUAAUGCCGGAUGGCGCGCUGGUGUGGCAUCACACUUUCGCUAAAGCUCAGGCGGAUCCGGGUGGCCAUGCGUUCGAUUAGCUAGUUGGCGGGGUAACGGCCCACCAAGGCGACGAUCGAUAGGGGUCCUGAGAGGGAGGUCCCCCACACUGGUAC
rnacentral:rRNA from 1 species